GUGCUUACUUCAGCAGCACAUAUAUUAAAAUUGGAAUGAUACAGGGAAGAUUAGCAUGGUCCCUAAAUAAAAAAGGAAAAAACAUGCCCUAGAUACUUGCUAUGUCACU